rnacentral:rRNA from 1 species
GGAUUGGCGUGUCGGUCGUGCCUUAAGGGGUAUGAACUGGCGUCGUCGAUUUCUCACCUUCUGGAGAAACGCGAUGCCCUUAAUUGGGUGUCGUGCGGAACCAGGACCUUUACCUUGAAAAAAUUAGAGUGUUUAAAGCAGGCAUUUUUUGCUCGAAUACAUUAGCAUGGAAUAAUAAAAUAGGACGGUUGGUUCUAUUUUGUUGGUUUCUAGGAUUGACGUA